AUUUAAAAGAGAAAAUUGUCCGCGAGUGAGAUCAAUCCGGUGCGAUUUUUCUCUGUGAAAAAAAAUAGAAAAU
rnacentral:sRNA from 1 species